GACAAAGGGGCUGAGAAAUACACAUCUGGAAGCACAGACUGUAUUUGCAUAACAACAACUGGAUGACAUAGCUUCUCUCCUUUCUUUUCUUCAUGUCUUGAAGAAUGUUUGUUUUGGCUCAUCUUCAAGGUACAGGCAUAAUCGCGUGGAACCUCCCAGGAUGCAGAGAAUCUUCUCUGUAAAGAUUCUUCAGCUGAAUCUUGAGUGAGCCGGGAAAAAAAACAGCCACUUGCAAUUCAUCAGGCCUGGAAUAAUGAGCAGAGAGCUACACUGAUUUAGCCCAGGGCUUACAGCUCGAACAUCUGGCUUGGUUGGCAGCCACAGUCAAGGCCAGCACUAUUGGAAAGCUUUCUUUGGAGGGUCCAGAUGCAGAGAGAGGAGGAUCGGUACAAAUGCUACAGAUGGAAACGCUGGAACAGAUGAUGUGGUGGGCAGCUCCUGCCACCGUUGGCACAGGUAGCUUGUCUCCAACAGCUGGCACAGGUUAGGCAUUCCUGGGAAUUGGUGCCACAAGGCAAAUGUUCGCACUGGCAGAGGUUGUGGUUGUGGAACAUAUACACACUGUUCUUACAGGUAUCAUCAAUCAGGCGGACUGUGGGACUGAAUGAUAAUAGAAAAAUUGUUUAUCUUUGCUUUUGUUUAUGCAAUUUAUUUCUCCUGCUAAUCUAUUUAUAGCAAACCAUUUAACCAGGUAAGUCUAUGUAUUUUCACAUUUUACAUUUCAAAAAAUUAUAAACCACUCUUUUUCCUCUGUAAAUGGAAAUAAUUCCAAACAAAGACAAAGCAAAACAAACCACUGAAUGUCUCAAAGUCGAUACAAAGUAGUGAUGUUUCAUUUCUGAAUGUAUCAGUAAUGAGUUUUUAAACGAAUCAGUUAACUCAUUCAGUGACUCAUUCAUAACUUAAUUCUCAAAUAAAUCAGUGUUUUUGAGCAGAUUAGUUGAGUGAGUGAUUCAGUGACUCUCUCAUAAAAACAGUGGGUGUGUCUCAAUAAGCUCCCUAGUUAGUGAAUGUGUAUAUCGUGUACACAAAUUCAGACACUGGUGAGAACCCUGGCUCACUACACACUGGGACACUGAUGACUGAUGAGUUUCUGAUGACAUACUCUUAUUGUAAAACGUCACCACUGUUAUUUUUCAAUAACAGCCAGAGAGUAUCUUUUUGACAUUAUUUUAUUUUAUUUUAUUUAUUUCUUUGCUGUUUAAUGUACAUUAAGAAAAAUGCUUCAACAUUUCAGUCAUUAAUUAAUUAUAAAAGUUAGCUAGAUUAUAUUCAGUACUGAAAAUUUGAUGUAAAAUAUGAUGUGAUCUUUUUGUGGUGCAUUGUGGGAUUUUCUAGGGAGUCUGGUUCCAGUGCACUGGAAAGAUUUUGCGUUUGAGACCGGCUUAGUUGGAUGGCUCUGCAUGCAUAUGAAUGGAAGUCAAUACAAUGAAAAGUGUAAUAUAACUGGCCAUUGAGUGCCCUUGGAAUGCCGAUCAGCCAAUCAGAAUCAAGGACUGGAUCUAAAUCUGUUACAUAAAACAUAUAAGAUGAUGUGAAAAAUGUUUUGCUUUGACAAAAGAUUCUAGAAAAAUCUUCUAUUAUAUAAAGUAUGGUCUACUUAUAAAGAAAAAAAAACAUGCUUCACACUAUAAGUGACACUUAUACACACACAUUUGGUCAUACUGAGGCAUGCUUUUGGAUUCACAGACAAAAAAAUAACAGAUUGUGUGUGGGGGUUGAGUCUGAGACUGUGAAUAUAAUGGUCUUGCCCAGAUGUAUGUGUCUGGACUGCUCAGACUGGCACAAAGCUGGCCACUGCUCACUGAUGGACAUCUGGAUAGCAAAUUGGUUAA
ensembl:lncRNA